GGUAGUAGACUAACAGGAUUCCCCUAGUAACUGCGAGUGAAGCGGGAAAAGCUCAAAUUUAAAAUCUGGUGGCCUCUGGUCAUCCGAGUUGUAAUUUAGAGAAGCGUCUUCCGCGCUGGACCGUGCACAAGUCUCCUGGAAUGGAGCGUCAUAGAGGGUGAGAAUCCCGUCUUUGGCAUGGACCCCAGGGCUUCUGUGAUGCGCUCUCGAAGAGUCGAGUUGUUUGGGAAUGCAGCUCAAAAUGGGUGGUGAACUCCAUCUAAAGCUAAAUAUUGGCGAGAGACCGAUAGCGAACAAGUACCGUGAGGGAAAGAUGAAAAGCACUUUGGAAAGAGAGUGAAACAGUACGUGAAAUUGUUGAAAGGGAAACGCUUGAAGUCAGUCGCGUCGUCCGAGACUCAGCCUCGCCUUGGCUUGGUGUACUUCUCGGUUGACGGGUCAGCAUCAAUUUUGCCCCUCGGAUAAUGGCGAGGGAAAUGUGACACCUUUACGGGUGUGUUAUAGUCCUCCGUCGCAUGCGAGGGUCGGGAUUGAGGAACUCAGCACGCGCUUCGGCGUCGGGGCUUUGCCCACGAUACGUGCUUAGGAUGUUGGCGUAAUGGCUUUAAACGACCCGUCUUGAAACACGGACCAAGGAGUCUAACAUGCCCGCGAGUGUUCGGGUGGAAAACCCGUGCGCGAAAUGAAAGUGAAAGUUGGGACCUCUGUCGUGGAGGGCACCGACGCCCGGACCAGACCUUCUGUGACGGAUCUGCGGUAGAGCGUGUAUGUUAGGACCCGAAAGAUGGUGAACUAUGCCUGAAUAGGGUGAAGCCAGAGGAAACUCUGGUGGAGGCUCGUAGCGAUUCUGACGUGCAAAUCGAUCGUCAAAUUUGGGUAUAGGGGCGAAAGACUAAUCGAACCAUCUAGUAGCUGGUUCUGC
rnacentral:rRNA from 1 species